AAAAAAAUGACAGCUCAUCAGCAUAUUCUCUGCACAAAGUUAAAGCUGUUUCAAGGUGCUUUUCUUCAAGACAAAGGAAUGCAUUAAAGGAGUUGGUUGGCAGCUGUGAACAUUUCUUCAUUACCAAUGAGUGCAUUAAAAUAGUUGGUUAGAAGCUGUAAACACUUAAUUUCGAAAUUUCCUAUGCAUGAAGGGUUGUUUCAUGCACUAGUAUUUAUUUUGGUGUUUAGGACUUAGGCAGGACUUUAGAAACUGAUGAUAUCUGGGCAGAAGCUCUUAGAGAACCCCUUAAACUCUGUAUCUCUUGGAUGCGUCCUUGAGUGGCCUUUGAGAAUGUUGCACGAAGAUGUUGAAAAUUAAGCAUCAUAAUUUGGCCUUCCUCCAAAAAAGAUAUCUGCUAGUCGAGCAUUUUAUUCUGAAAUCAACAUCAACACCUGCACUUCAGAAACAUGAUUUCUCUACUAAUUAGUGCAGUAUCACUGCACAGUGCUUCGGAGUCUAUCACAUGCAAACGACCC